rnacentral:rRNA from 1 species
GAUGAACGCUGGCGGCGUGCCUAAUACAUGCAAGUCGAGCGAACAGACGAGGAGCUUGCUCCUCUGACGUUAGCGGCGGACGGGUGAGUAACACGUGGAUAACCUACCUAUAAGACUGGGAUAACUUCGGGAAACCGGAGCUAAUACCGGAUAAUAUAUUGAACCGCAUGGUUCAAUAGUGAAAGACGGUUUUGCUGUCACUUAUAGAUGGAUCCGCGCCGCAUUAGCUAGUUGGUAAGGUAACGGCUUACCAAGGCAACGAUGCGUAGCCGACCUGAGAGGGGAUCCGCCCCCCUGGGACCGGGACCCGGGCCCAAACCCCAAGGGAGGGCGCCGGGGGGAAUUUUUCCGCAUGGGGGCAAGCCUUACCGGGCCAACCCCGGUGGAGGAAGAAGGUCUUUGGGAUGUAAAACCCUUUUUUUUGGGAAAAAAAAAAUGUUUAAGAAACUGGCCAGUUUUGAAGGGACCCUAAGAAGAAGCCCGGGGCAAACUAGGG